AUUGUAUUUUAAGGCCUUUUGGCUAAGAUCAAGUGUAGCAUCUGUUCUUAUCUCUUUAAUAUCUGUUAUGUCCCCUCUAGAUUGUAAGCUGAUUGUGGGCAAGGAACGUUGUCUGCCGAUUCUCU
rnacentral:snRNA from 1 species